rnacentral:lncRNA from 1 species
UCGGUUUUUUUUUCCCAAGUGUUCAUCCAAAACUCAAACAUCUCUCACCCUCACACGGUUUCACUCUCGUAACAACCUAUCGCCUCAAACCCUUACAUUAGUAACAGCGUUGAUUUUGUCUCAUGUCUCAGCAUCGAUUUGCCUUGUCACCCGCCAUCGAUUUGGCCAUCAUCGAGAUCCACAUGAGGAACCCACUGAACGUGUGCUGCCACCGUUGCAUUUCAAAACCCUAACUGAAAACCCACCAUUGAUUAAGCUCAAUUUUUUUAUUAACACAGGUAAUUAUUCUCCUUAUUUUCUCUUGCAUUUCAAUUUAAUUAAAUUUUUUUGUCAAUUUCAACACUAAAGGUGUAGUUCUAAGCACUGAAGGUUUAUCUAAAAUUUGUUCAUUGUGUUGGAAAAAUGGAAUUUUUCCUUAAAAGUUAUGUGCACAAAUGUACUAGUUUGUUGAAAUGAACGAAAUCUGAACCUUUAGAAUGAUUUCGGUUUUGUUCUUGUGCGGCUAAUGACCUUAACAUUUUGUCCAGUUUUCAAAUUGGGGAUCCAAUUAUUUUCUUCUUAGUUCUUGCACGGUCGAUCUUCUUUGUUGGCCGAGGGCUUUGCACCUAUGCUUCCAUUGAUGUUAUCGCAGCCAACACAGUCGAUUUGGGUCUUUUAAUACUUGAUUCUUUGAGGACAAGUAACAUGUUUGCUUCAUGGACAUUUGUUGGAGCAAAGACUUUAGUAGAUAAUAAUGCUACUUCUGAGGUUAGCUUGACUUUGAUGCUCUGUUUUUGUAUGCAUUUAGUUACUGUACAAUUUUUGUUGCAAAGGCCUUAUUUGCUUAGCUUAGUUUUGCUUACUCAAUUAGUUAUAAUUUUUUGAAUUUGGCUGUGGUUUUUUGCAAAAUUUCUUUCCAAUCCAUAUUAGUUCACCUUUCUAACCAACUUGGAUAUAAAGACUGCGUCUAUUGGCUGUGGUUUUUUGCAAAAUGCCGUUCCAAUCCAUUUUAUAUAUUAUUAAUCUUUCAUUUGCAAUUGGUAUCGUAUGAAUAGCUUCAAUAUUGAAAUUUUAAUGAGUUUUUGAAGCUAGCUGUAGGAUGUGCAGGAAUUUAUUUUACCUUUCUGACCAGCCUGGAUAUAUUAUUAAAACUCUAUCUAUUAGAUAUGCUUUUUGCAACUUUUCUUUUCAAUUCCUAUGAUUUACUUAUCAAUCUAUGCUCCAGAGCCUUAUGCCAAGAAUGGUUUUGCAUUUUAAUCAUAUUUCCUGCUACUCAAUGUGAUGAUUUUAUUUUUCACUUGGUGGACAGAGAGUUGGGUUUUACCUUUUCAUUUUCUAUUAGCAAACGUUGGCCGAGGGCUUUGCACCUAUGCUUCCAUUGAUGUUAUCGCAGCCAACACAGUCGAUUUGGGUCUUUUAAUACUUGAUUCUUUGAGGACAAGUAACAUGUUUGCUUCAUGGACAUUUGUUGGAGCAAAGACUUUAGUAGAUAAUAAUGCUACUUCUGAGGUUAGCUUGACUUUGAUGCUCUGUUUUUGUAUGCAUUUAGUUACUGUACAAUUUUUGUUGCAAAGGCCUUAUUUGCUUAGCUUAGUUUUGCUUACUCAAUUAGUUAUAAUUUUUUGAAUUUGGCUGUGGUUUUUUGCAAAAUUUCUUUCCAAUCCAUAUUAGUUCACCUUUCUAACCAACUUGGAUAUAAAGACUGCGUCUAUUGGCUGUGGUUUUUUGCAAAAUGCCGUUCCAAUCCAUUUUAUAUAUUAUUAAUCUUUCAUUUGCAAUUGGU